AUGGACUACAGGCAGUUCUACUGCAUGACCCUGCGGAUGAGCAUAGACUGCAACGGGUGCUACCAGAAGAUCAGGAGGGCGCUGCUCCAGAUGCAAGAGCUGGAGAGCCACCUGAUCGACCGGAAGCACGGCCGGGUGAGCGUCUGGGGCGCCUUCAGCCCGCAGGACGUGGCCAUCAAGAUCAGGAAGCGGACCAACCGGCGCGUCGAGAUAUUGGAGCUCAGGGAGGCCGCAGGGCCGGGGGGCGCCGACGAGCAGGGCGCCGGCGGCGGGCAGAUGCCCUCAAACUGA
rnacentral:rRNA from 1 species